rnacentral:rRNA from 1 species
CGGAGCUGUUGGGGGUGGCACAAGCUAGGGGGUAGCGACUGUUUACCAAAAACACAGGAGCGUGCGAAGGCGUAAGCCGCUGUAUACGCUCUGACGCCUGCCCGGUGCCGGAAGGUUAAGAGGAUCCGUUAGCUUCGGUGAAGCGGUGAAUUUAAGCCCCGGUAAACGGCGGUGGUAACUAUAACCAUCCUAAGGUAGCGAAAUUCCUUGUCGGGUAAGUUCCGACCUGCACGAAUGGCGUAACGACUUCCCCACUGUCUCGGCCAGGAGCCCGGCGAAAUUGCAGUACGAGUAAAGAUGCUCGUUAAGCGCAGAAGGACGAAAAGACCCCGGGACCUUUACUAUACCUUGGUAUUGUCGUUAGGUGUGGAUCGUGUAGCAUAGGCGGGAGGCUGUGAAGCGUGGGCGCUAGCUUGCGUGGAGUCGAUCAGUGAAAUACCGCUCUUUCCAUAUCUGGCGUCUAACCUCGACACGUUAUCCGUGUUAGGGACAGUGCCUGGCGGGUAGUUUAACUGGGGCGGUUGCCUCCUAAAGAGUAACGGAGGCGCUCAAUGGUCCGCUCAGCCCGGUUGGCAAUCGGGUGUUGAGUGUAAUCGCACAAGCGGGCUUGACUGUGAGACUGACGGGUCGAGCAGGGACGAAAGUCGGAGAUAGUGAUCCGGUGCCGGCGUACGGACGUGGCAUCGCUCAACGGAUAAAAGGUACCCCGGGGAUAACAGGCUGAUCAUUCCCAAGAGUCCAUAUCGACGGGAUGGUUUGGCACCUCGAUGUCGGCUCGUCGCAUCCUGGGGCUGGAGCAGGUCCCAAGGGUUCGGCUGUUCGCCGAUUAAAGCGGCACGCGAGCUGGGUUCAGAACGUCGUGAGACAGUUUGGUCUCUAUCCUCUGCGCUCGUUGGAAUGUUGAGGAGACCUGCCCAUAGUACGAGAGGACCUGGGUGGACGAACCUCUGGUAUGCCGGUCGUCACGCCAGUGGCGCUGCCGGUUAGCUACGUUUGGAAGGGAUAACCGCUGAAAGCAUCUAAGCGGGAAGCCUGCUCCAAGAUUAGCAUUCCUUGCACUUUGUGUGUGAGCCCCCAUGUAGAACACGUGGUUGAUAGGCUGGAUGUGGAAGCCCUGUAAGGGGUGGAGCUGACCAGUACUAAUGGGCGAUUGUGAUACUAC